UACGAAGGGUGCAAGCGUUAAUCGGAAUUACUGGGCGUAAAGCGCGCGUAGGCGGUUUGGUAAGUGUGAUGUGAAAGCCCCGGGCUCAACCUGGGAACUGCAUCACAUACUGCCAAGCUAGAGUACGGUAGAGGGGGGUAGAAUUCCACGUGUAGCGGUGAAAUGCGUAGAGAUGUGGAGGAAUACCAGUGGCGAAGGCGGCCCCCUGGAUCGAUACUGACGCUGAGGUGCGAAAGCGUGGGGAGCAAACAGG
rnacentral:rRNA from 1 species